UGCCUUAGUAACUGCGAGUGAAGCGGCAAGAGCUCAAAUUUGAAAUCUGGCACCUUCGGUGUCCGAGUUGUAAUUUGUAGAAGCAUCUUUUGGAUUGGUCCUUGCAUAUGUUCCUUGGAACAGGACAUCAUAGAGGGUGAGAAUCCCGUUCAUGGUGGGGAAUCCAAUUCUUUGUAAAGUGCUUUCGAAGAGUCGAGUUGUUUGGGAAUGCAGCUCUAAGUGGGUGGUAAAUUCCAUCUAAAGCUAAAUAUUGGCGAGAGACCGAUAGCGAACAAGUACAGUGAUGGAAAGAUGAAAAGAACUCCGAAAGGAGAGUGAAAAAGGACGUGAAAUUGUUGAAAGGGAAGUGCUUGAGAUCAGUCUUAAGGUUUAGUGAUCAGUCUUCCUUUUGGUUGGUGCACUCACUAUUUCUUAGGCCAACAUCAGUUUUCGCGGCAGGAUAAUGACAUUGGAAUGUGGCUCUUUCGGGAGUGUUAUAGCCUUUGUUGAUACUGCCUGCUUAGACUGAGGACCGCGCUUUUGCUAGGAUGUUGGCAUAAUGAUCUUAAGCAGCCCGUCUUGAAACACGGACCAAGGAGUCUAACAACUAUGCGAGUGUUUGGGUGUAAAACCCGUACGCAUAAUGAAAGUGAACGUAGGUGGGAACCUUUUGGUGCACCAUCGACCGAUCCUGAUGUAUUCGGAUGGAUUUGAGUAAGAGCAUAGCUGUUGGGACCCGAAAGAUGGUGAACUAUGCCUGAAUAGGGUGAAGCCAGAGGAAACUCUGGUGGAGGCUCGUAGCGAUUCUGACGUGCAAAUCGAUCGUCAAAUUUGGGUAUAGGGGCGAAAGACUAAUCGAACCAUUGGUAAUUAGCUACUAGGUGGUUAAGAGGGCUGCUGAAUGCGAUCAGUGGCUCUAGUCUCGGGAAGCGAGGCAAGACCUGUCAAAUUGCUGGAACACCCUAAAGACAACAGUACUAAGCCGGCCUGGAAACAGACGGUGGAGCGUGUCGCACGCUGAGUGAAAAUCUGUUGUAUGUAACAAUGGGCAAUCAGCAGCCAAGUCCUAAGUCACGGACAGUGAUAUGGAUGCAGUUCAGAGACUAAAUGGCGGUCGGUCUGUUUUUGUGACAGGCUUAAGAUAUAGUCCAAUCCCAGUCGAAAGACUGUCUGCAGACAAAGCUCACUUAACUGCUUCCAAUUAGUUUGUGAGCCCGAACCUG
rnacentral:rRNA from 1 species